rnacentral:rRNA from 1 species
CAGCCGCCGCGGUAAUACGAAGGGUGCAAGCGUUAAUCGGAAUUACUGGGCGUAAAGCGUGCGUAGGCGGUGAGUUAAGUCUGCUGUGAAAUCCCCGGGCUCAACCUGGGAAUGGCAGUGGAUACUGGCUCGCUAGAGUGUGUCAGAGGAUGGUGGAAUUCCCGGUGUAGCGGUGAAAUGCGUAGAGAUCGGGAGGAACAUCAGUGGCGAAGGCAGCCCCCUGGGCCAACACUGACGCUCAUGCACGAAAGCGUGGGGAGCAAACAGGAUUAGAUACCCCCGUAGUCCUGCUCUUAUACAC